UGUUCCAUCCACUAUCCACCAACAUGGCGUGUGUUUGGAAAAUUAUACUAGCAUUCGGGCUAAUUGCUUGCACUGUUGCAUCAGCUCUAAGCGUGUUGCCUUUACCCGUAUUUUCGCCCUGGUGCAUUUCAGCUGGUUCCAAAAAUGCCGCUGACAUUAGAGCACCUCGCUGCGGCCGGAAUGAGGUUUAUUCGUGCUGUGGCUCCUGCGUACAGAAGAGUUGCGCUACCCUGAAUCAAAACUUGUACUGUUUAAUCUGUGCUGCGGGCUGCUUUUGCCGGGAUGGCUAUGUGCGAAAAGUUCCCAGAGGAAUCUGUGUCCCGCGGUCCAGUUGUUUGACCGCAGAGCUACAAUAAAUAGCUACUAUCUUCGAAUGGA